rnacentral:rRNA from 1 species
UACGUAGGGUGCAAGCGUUGUCCGGAAUUAUUGGGCGUAAAGCGCGUGUAGGCGGUUCAGUAAGUCUGCUGUGAAAGUCCAGGGCUCAACCCUGGGAUGCCGGUGGAUACUGCUGGACUAGAGUGCGGAAGAGGCGAGUGGAAUUCCUGGUGUAGCGGUGGAAUGCGCAGAUAUCAGGAGGAACACCAGUGGCGAAGGCGACUUGCUGGACUGUAACUGACGUUGAGGCUCGAAAGCGUGGGGAGCAAACAGG